rnacentral:rRNA from 1 species
UAUUAUGGAAAAAUUAAAUAUAAUUAUGCUAUUUCUUACAGGAGGAAGUAAUAUGGACAAUAUAAGAGAAACUAGAUAUAAAAGAGAAGAUGGAACAUAUGAUAUAUCUUUAGAAGUUAAAGAUUCUGCAUACUUUAAUGUAUUUGAUAACGCAGACACAACAUCAGGUAAAGAAUUUCUAAGAGAUUAUUUAAAAAGUAAUGCAGAUGAUGCUAGAUAUGAGGAUAUUUCUGUAAAUCAUAAUAAGGGUAGACGUAUAGUAAGCAUAAAAGCUAAACUAGAUUAUGAAGGUAAUAUGCACACAUCAUAUGAUAACAGAAGAAAAUUAUAUUAAAUAAAAAAUAAUAUACAUAUUGUACUAGUUAAAAUUAAUUAUAAAAAUAAAGAUAAGAAAAAAUUAACUAGUACAAUAUAUUUAAAACUAAGUGAAUAUAAGUAAUUUAUUGAUAUUAAUAUUAAAUAAUAAAUAUAAAAAUAAAAAAGUUUAUAAAAAGUAUUGACGAUAUAAAAUUAUGGUGAUAUAGUAUUACUUGUCCUUAAGAAAAGGGCAAAGCAAAAAAGUAAGCGCCGACACAGUCGCUUAAAAUGAACUUUGAAAAUUAAACAGUAGGUUAAUUUAUAUAACUGAUUCUUAAAGAAUCGAAAACAAACCAAGCCAGAUAUUCAGAUAAUGAUAGUCUGAGCAGGAAAACUUAUAUUUGAGCAACAGAAUAAGUUGAGUGAAUACGAAACUUGUUUGUUGGCGAUAUAAAUUCAAAUUUAUUUUGAGAGUUUGAUCCUGGCUCAGGAUGAACGCUGGCGGCGUGCCUAACACAUGCAAGUCGAGCGAUUUACUUUUAGUAAAGAGCGGCGGACGGGUGAGUAACGCGUGGGUAACCUGCCCUGUACACACGGAUAACAUACCGAAAGGUAUGCUAAUACGAGAUAACAUGAGAAAGUCGCAUGGCUUUCUUAUCAAAGCUUUNAGGUAGUCAAGAUAGGCAAAUCCGUCUUGAUAAUGCUAGGGUACGAUGGGGAGCCCUUUUGGGCGAAGUAGCUGAUUUCACACUGUCGAGAAAAGUCUCUACCGAGGUUAAAGGUGCCCGUACCGUAAACCGACACAGGUGGGUGAGGAGAGUAUCCUAAGGCCAGCGAGAGAACUAUUGUUAAGGAACUCGGCAAAAUGACCCCGUANAUGAUGGGUAGGGGAGCUUCGUAUGCAGGCUGAAGCAUGACCGUAAGGACAUGUGGACAGUAUACGAGUGAGAAUGUUGGCAUGAGUAGCGAGACGUGGGUGAGAAUCCCACGGGCCGUAAACCCAAGGUUUCCAGGGGAAGGUUCGUCCGCCCUGGGUUAGUCGGGACCUAAGCCGAGGCCGAAAGGCGUAGGUGAUGGACAACAGGUUGAUAUUCCUGUACCACCAAUAACCGUUUGAGGAAUGGGAUGACACAGUAGGAUAAGCUAACCACACUGUUGGUUAUGUGUGGCUAAGUACUGAGGCAGUCAAGAUAGGCAAAUCCGUCUUGAUAAUGCUAGGGUACGAUGGGGAGCCCUUUUGGGCGAAGUAGCUGAUUUCACACUGUCGAGAAAAGUCUCUACCGAGGUUAAAGGUGCCCGUACCGUAAACCGACACAGGUGGGUGAGGAGAGUAUCCUAAGGCCAGCGAGAGAACUAUUGUUAAGGAACUCGGCAAAAUGACCCCGUAACUUAGGGAUAAGGGGUGCCAUCCUUUGGAUGGCCGCAGAGAAUAGGCCCAAGCGACUGUUUACCAAAAACACAGGUUUCUGCUAAGUCGCAAGACGAUGUAUAGGAGCUGACGCCUGCCCGGUGCUGGAAGGUUAAGGGGAUCUGUUAGGAGUAAUCCGAAGCAGUGAACUUAAGCCCCAGUAAACGGCGGCCGUAACUAUAACGGUCCUAAGGUAGCGAAAUUCCUUGUCGGGUAAGUUCCGACCCGCACGAAAGGCGUAACGAUUUGGGCACUGUCUCAACAAUAGACUCGGUGAAAUUGUAAUCCCGGUGAAGAUGCCGGGUACCUGCGACAGGACGGAAAGACCCCAUGGAGCUUUACUGUAGCUUGACGUUGGGUCUUGGUACUACAUGUACAGGAUAGGUGGGAGACUAUGAAGCAUGGACGCCAGUCUGUGUGGAGUCAUCCUUGGGAUACCACCCUUGUAGUACUGGGAUCCUAACCAGAGGCCUUGAAUCAGGUCUUGGGACACCGUCAGGUGGGCAGUUUGACUGGGGCGGUCGCCUCCCAAAAAGUAACGGAGGCGCUCAAAGGUUUCCUCAGCACGGUCGGAAAUCGUGCGAAGAGUGUAAAGGCAAAAGGAAGCUUGAUUGCAAGACAUACAGGUCGAGCAAGGACGAAAGUCGGACUUAGUGAUCCGGUGGUUCCGCAUGGAAGGGCCAUCGCUCAACGGAUAAAAGCUACCCUGGGGAUAACAGGCUUAUCUCCCCCAAGAGUCCACAUCGACGGGGAGGUUUGGCACCUCGAUGUCGGCUCAUCACAUCCUGGGGCUGUAGUAGGUCCCAAGGGUUGGGCUGUUCGCCCAUUAAAGUGGUACGCGAGCUGGGUUCAGAACGUCGUGAGACAGUUCGGUCCCUAUCCGUCGCAGGCGUAGGAAAUUUGAGGAGACCUGUCCUUAGUACGAGAGGACCGGGAUGGACGUACCUCUGGUGUACCAGUUGUUCUGCCAAGGGCAUGGCUGGGUAGCUAUGUACGGAAUGGAUAAGCGCUGAAAGCAUCUAAGCGCGAAGCCAACUUCAAGAUAAGAUUUCCCACCGUAAGGGUAAGACCCCAGGAAGACUACCUGGUUGAUAGGUCGAAGGUGUAAGUGCAGUAAUGUAUUUAGCUUAUCGAUACUAAUAGGUCGAGGACUUGACCU